GAUGAAGAACGUAGCGAAAUGCGAUAAGUAAUGCGAAUUGCAGAAUUCAGUGAGUCAUCGAAUCUUUGAACGCUCAUUGCGCCCUGUGGUAUUCCGCAGGGCAUGCCUGUUCGAGCGUCAUUUCAACCCUCAAGCCCCGCUUGGUGUUGGGCCCCGCCCGCUGUGGCCGGCCCUAAAGACAGUGGCGGCGCCGCCUGGCCCUCAGCGUAGUACAUCUCUCGCUCCAGGGUCCGGUGGCCGCCUGCCAGAACCCCCCAACUCUGUGGUUGACCUCGGAUCAGGUAGGGAUACCCGCUGAACUUAAGCAUAUCAAUAAGCGGAGGA
rnacentral:misc_RNA from 1 species